CGCGUAUCCAACCUUCCGUACACUCAGGGAUAGCCUUUCGAAAGAAAGAUUAAUACCUGACGGUAUGAUGAGAUUGCAUGAUAGCAUCAUUAAAGAUUUAUCGGUGUACGAUGGGGAUGCGUUCCAUUAGGUAGUAGGCGGGGUAACGGCCCACCUAGCCUACGAUGGAUAGGGGUUCUGAGAGGAAGGUCCCCCACAUUGGAACUGAGACACGGUCCAAACUCCUACGGGAGGCAGCAGUGAGGAAUAUUGGUCAAUGGACGAGAGUCUGAACCAGCCAAGUAGCGUGAAGGAUGAAGGUCUUACGGAUUGUAAACUUCUUUUAU
rnacentral:rRNA from 1 species